GAUGAACGCUAGCUACAGGCUUAACACAUGCAAGUCGAGGGGUAGCAGGGUAGCAAUACCGCUGACGACCGGCGCACGGGUGAGUAACACGUAUCCAACCUUCCCAUAACUCGGGGAUAGCCUUUCGAAAGAAAGAUUAAUACCCGAUAGUACUUUAUUAAGGCAUCUUAAGAAAGUUAAAGAUUUAUUGGUUAUGGAUGGGGAUACGUUCCAUUAGAUAGUUGGUGAGGUAACGGCUCACCAAGUCUUCGAUGGAUAGGGGUUCUGAGGGGAAGGUCCACCACAUUGGAACUGAGACACGGACCAAACUCCUACGGGAAGCAGCAGUGAGGAAUAUUGGUCAAUGGGCGAGAGCCUGAACCAACCAAGUAGCGUGAAGGAUGAAGGUCCUAUGGAUUGUAAACUUCUUUUAUAGUAGAAUAAAGUGAACCACGUGUGGUUUUUUGUAUGUAUACUAUGAAUAAGGAUCGGCUAACUCCGUGCCAGCCGCCGCGGUAACAC
rnacentral:rRNA from 1 species